rnacentral:lncRNA from 13 species
CAGCAGUUUUGUAUGGAGUUCAAUGAGAGUGUUGAAUUUGGUCAACAACAAAAAAUGAAUGGCUCAUUUGAUUCUUGAGGUUUUAUUUUAUCCAAUUAGAAGUUUCAUAAGUUGUUACAAGUGAACUGAAACAAGUAGAACACGUGACUUUCCUGCAAAAAAACACUAUAUCAGAGUUGUGCCUGUUGUUCAAACACGUAGCUGCCCUCUCAUUGGCUAGAAUAGUCCCACCUGAUCUUGCCUCCUUCCAACUGCCUUCCAUUUUGAAUACGUGUAUUUUCAUUGUUAGAGCGGCCACUACAUGAUCUGGUCAAAUAUAAUGGAUCAUCUGUGAUUUAGGGCAGAAGAGGAGGAAUUGGAAUUGGGCCCAGGGUUCUGCUGAUUGGUUGAGGCUACGUGAGGUCAGCCAGGUGUAGAUAAUUUGGUGUAGAUAAAGUCCCAUUUAAAAACUCCAUAAUGUGUUCACAAGGUAGACUGCUAGACUAUCAAUCACCUUUUUCAGAAAAAAAAAUAUUCAGGGAAGACGUCACAUACCUGUAGCGGUAAAUGGAAGUUGUUUCUUUGGUGACGGUAGGAUGCAACAAGCAUGAGUACCUGUUAAGUUCAACGUCGCAUGAGGAGUACUCGGAUGACGAGAUCUCAACCAAGAAAGAGAUGCACUGGAGACUUGGCCCAGAGAACCACGACGAUACUGUCCUGUAUGACUUUGAGAUGGCCUGUGAUGCCCAGGAGGAGAUACUGGUGGCGGUGGAAUUCAUCACCCAUGAUGCCCUGUCGAGAUCAAUAUCACACGAGGAGUACUCCGACGAUGAGAUAUCAACCAAGAAGGCGAUGCAUUGGAGACUUGGCCCAGCGGAUCACUAUGAUACUAUUCCCUACACGGGCAACUUGAACCGUAGUGUUGCUGUUCGCUUUGACUUUGAUAAUACUGUUCUGUAUGACUUUGACAUGGACCGUGAUACCCAGGAGGAGAUGGUGAAGUCUGCCGAUGAAGUGUCCUGUCGAACACACAGAUUCAGGUUUUGUAGUCUGGAUAGACCCUCUAUUGGCUGAUUGUGUGGUGUGUUGUGGCUUUUUUUCAAAUAUUUUUUUAAAUAUGUAAUGUCUAAAUAUCUUUAUGAAUUAAUAAAAUGGAUUAUUAUUAUUUGGGCUUUUAUUCAACAAUAUAUUAGAUCAAAUCCAGGCAAACUCUUAUUCUUGCAGUUAACCAAAAACAUUUGAUAAGAUUGACAAAUGUAAUAAGUCAUCUCUAAACAUGAUGUACACCUGGAGAUUACCCGACUACAAGAGACUACCUAGGAAAGCUAUUUUAAGGAUUGACCGUUUAAAAAAAAAAAAUCUAUUUAUUGGUUUUAAGUUUCUUUAUUGGCUCCUUCUGUAUCAUGCUUAUUUACACAGUACACUUAGCGACAGAAUAUGGAGAACGAACAGAGCUCAUCGUCAAGACGAUGUGAUUAAAUGUCAAUUAAAGUUAAUCUUUAACAUUACAAAUGUACAGUAGACAUACAGAUGUCCCCUGAUUUUUUUUUUUUAAAUGUUGGAUGCUUUUAAGGUGUACAUUAGGGGAAUUAUAAUCUGAGUUAAUUCAAGGAAAGUACAAUGAAGCACUUUGCUUUUGUUUUGGUGUGUUGUCUGCUCAACCCAUGUGGGGGGAAAAAAAAAAACGCUGAAAUAAAUGGCAAUAGGUAAAAAUAACCGCUCAACAGCAAUCCUUUUAAAGUGGAUCACAAAUCAAAUACUUAAGAUGAAAGCAGCAAAUAUAAAGUGAACUUUAUCUCAUUACUCAUAGAAAGCCGAUCUAAUUAAAUAAUCUUCCCAGAAUUCUAUUAAAAAAUAACCUCGGUCAUGGCUCCCGAAGUUUGUUGUUUUUGUAUUUAUUCUUGUCUUCGGUGGGGUAAUUGGUAUUUAGUAUUUUAAAUAAGUAUACGGUCACAAGACUUGUGGGCAACUAAACCCAUAGAAUGAACAAUUGUACAUCUUCCUAAAUCUGAGGGUGGUUUUAACUUUCCAUACUUGGGUGAUGAGUUGCUGCGAUUCCAAGGCUUUUACUAGCGACACCUAAAAUGCGCUAAAGAGGAACAAGGAGUACAUCGUGAAGAUCAUGCUCGUCCCCGGAAACUUUACGUGUCUAUUUUCAAAGGAUAAAGCUAAGAACAUUAACCCCCCCCCCCCCCACAGAGUCAAUGUCAAAUCCCCAUCAGUCUUCACAUAAUUUUUUUGCAUGGACUUCGUCUCAAUCCGCUGAUGGUGGCCUCCCGCGUUGGAAGGGGGCCGAGUUCCAGCGGUGUUUGUCAGACCAGAAGACAUCCCAAUUAAUUGGUGUUGUAGCGUCCGACAGGUUUGGCCAACACACUAAUAUAACCCCUCUGUGGAAAAGUGUGAGACUCACGAGCAAGUAGGUGUCAGUGUUCUGCUCUAGAGACGCCCACAAACCUCACAGGACUUGUCAAUGUAGCCCGGUACCAGUUUUGAAAAAUGGAAGUAGUUUAGUGCCAAUAAAGGGGUUAAAUAUGCAUUUUUUUAAAUCUAAAUUUCCUGAUCUUAUGUCUCCCAGAUAUUGGACAGACACUUAAAAAAAAAAAACGAUUUAUUUUUAUGUUUCUCCAUGUAUGCAUCUGUUAUUCAAUGUGUUUCUAUGGGCUAAUGGUAGUAAGGCCAAAUUCAAUGUUUCAUCAAAUAUAUAAUUUAACUGUUUAUAUCUAGACUCUUAAGGAUUGACAACUUAAUAGUAAAGAACACUAUAACAAUAUGGAAGAACAUUGAAGUAUUCUACAAGAUCCAAAAACACUCCCUAAAAUUAUAAGCCUUUAUGGAACAAUCCUUAGGAUAGCAUUUCCAGAAUUCACAGAUCACAGAAUUCACAUUUAUUUCCAUGACUGAUUUAAAAAGCCAUUUUGGACUGACCAAUGUAGAUAUUUUCAGAUACUUAAAUUUCAUAUCAAAAAAUGUCAAUCUGAAAUCUUGAGGGAAUCCUAUUUGAGUCAUAAAAUUAUGUUCAUAUAAGAUAUACAAAACCUUGCAGAGAGCCUAUCCAACUGACAAUCUCUUAGACAAAAAAUAUAUAAACUAUUGUAACCAAGACUUAAACUGAUAUUUGUUCAAGAUGGAGGGAAAGUUUGAGCAUAAUGAAAUAACAGUUAAUUAAAAUGUACACUUAAUCCAGUAUGAAGUCAUGUAUAGAAUUUAUUCUGCAAGAGACAAAAUACACAAAUUCUACUACAGCAAAAUGGCAGAGUCAUGUCUUUAGUGUAAAACUAACAAUGACUCCAUAAUCCAUGCCUUCUGGGAGUGUUAUGAUGUCAUAAAGUUAUGGGCGGAGUUAGAACGUUGGCUGUCAGAAGUAUCACAAUGUAAACUUUUAAUCCGUCUGUCUGCUUAUUUCAAGACGUAGCACAUGAGGGUGCAGUGAGAUACCCAAUGGGUUGGAUGAUUCUCUUCUCAUCAAUCAUCUUGGGGGGAAAAAACUAUACUUAACUGGAAAUCAACCAAUCCUCCAUUAACACAAUGGAAAGG